rnacentral:rRNA from 1 species
GGAAUUUUGGACAAUGGGCGAAAGCCUGAUCCAGCCAUUCCGCGUGCAGGAUGAAGGCCCUCGGGUUGUAAACUGCUUUUGUACAGAACGAAAAGGUUUCUAUUAAUACUAGGAGCUCAUGACGGUACUGUAAGAAUAAGCACCGGCUAACUACGUGCCAGCAGCCGCGGUAAUACGUAGGGUGCAAGCGUUAAUCGGAAUUACUGGGCGUAAAGCGUGCGCAGGCGGUUAUAUAAGUCAGAUGUGAAAUCCCCGGGCUCAACCUGGGAACUGCAUUUGAGACUGUAUAGCUAGAGUACGGUAGAGGGGGAUGGAAUUCCGCGUGUAGCAGUGAAAUGCGUAGAUAUGCGGAGGAACACCGAUGGCGAAGGCAAUCCCCUGGACCUGUACUGACGCUCAUGCACGAAAGCGUGGGGAGCAAACAGGAUUAGAUACCCUGGUAGUCCACGCCCUAAACGAUGUCAACUGGUUGUUGGGUCUUAACUGACUCAGUAACGAAGCUAACGCGUGAAGUUGACCGCCUGGGGAGUACGGCCGCAAGGUUGAAACUCAAAUGAAUUGACGG